GUCGGUAUCGAUUAGGGGUUAAAUCACUUCGUUGUGGUCAGCACGUCCGAAGAGCCGCAGGUUCGAUUCCUGCUACCGACA